UACGAAGGGUGCAAGCGUUACUCGGAAUUACUGGGCGUAAAGCGUGCGUAGGUGGUUGUUUAAGUCUGUUGUGAAAGCCCUGGGCUCAACCUGGGAACUGCAGUGGAAACUGGACAACUAGAGUGUGGUAGAGGGUAGCGGAAUUCCCGGUGUAGCAGUGAAAUGCGUAGAGAUCGGGAGGAACAUCCAUGGCGAAGGCAGCUACCUGGACCAACACUGACACUGAGGCACGAAAGCGUGGGGAGCAGACAGG
rnacentral:rRNA from 1 species